GGUCCCUUAGCUCAGCUGGAUAGAGCAACUGCCUUCUAAGCAGUAGGUCGCGUGUUCGAAUCUCGCAGGGAUCA
rnacentral:tRNA from 1 species